GUGGUUGUGGUGGCACUAAUUUGGAGUUGCACUCCAUGGGAUUGUAGUUUGUCUUAAAAUGUUCAGGUAUCUAGGUUUAUGUUACUGUCAGAUUUCGAAUCAAAGGAGUGAUUGUCAAAACUUUCAUGCUGGUAUUGAAUGUGAUAUCCUUUACGAUUUCUUCUUUAUGCUCCUUUGGGCUGCUUAUGUUUUGGAAUGCUUGUUUGGUUGGGGGCACCA
rnacentral:lncRNA from 1 species